rnacentral:rRNA from 1 species
UACGGAGGGUGCAAGCGUUAAUCGGAAUCACUGGGCGUAAAGCGCACGUAGGCGGCUGGGUAAGUCAGAUGUGAAAGCCCCGGGCUCAACCUGGGAACUGCAUUUGAUACUGCUCGGCUCGAGUCUGAUAGAGGGGGGUGGAAUUCCAGGUGUAGCGGUGAAAUGCGUAGAUAUCUGGAGGAACAUCAGUGGCGAAGGCGGCCCCCUGGAUCAAGACUGACGCUGAGGUGCGAAAGCGUGGGGAGCAAACAGG